rnacentral:rRNA from 1 species
AUGGCCAAAAGGUACUUCAAACUUGGAACGAGCAUGAAGAGAUUAACGAGACUUCUUUCUCUUUUGAGUUUUUCUGGCGGACCUGCCGCGCAAGAUCUUUGGUCUUCCCUUGGAACCGAUGAAAAAAAGUGGAUCGUUUCUUAUGUACUCGCUCAGAAUGAUUCUUCUCUAUCUAUAGUUCAUGGCCUAUUAGAAGUAGAAGGUGCUCUGGUGCAAUCCUUACCGACAGAAAAAGAUUGCAGUCAGGUUGAUAAUAGUCGAGUGACAUUACUUCGUCAGUCCAAAUUAAGGAAUCUGUUAGAAAUGUUUUGA